rnacentral:rRNA from 1 species
GACGAACGCUGGCGGCGUGCCUAAUACAUGCAAGUCGAACGCAGUGGGGACGGGUGAGUAACACGUGGGUAACCUCCCAUCAGAGGGGAUAACACUUGGAAACAGGUGCUAAACCGAUACUGAUGGAUGGACCCGCGGUGCAUUAGCUAGUUGGUGAGGUAACGGCGCACCAAGGCCACGAUGCAUAGCCUAGCGCGGAGGGUAUUCGGCCACACGGGGACGUAGACACGGCCCAGACUCCUACGGGAGGCAGCAGUAGGGAAGCUUCGGAAAUGGACGAAAGUCUGACCGAGCAACGACGCGUGAGUGAAGAAGGUUUUCGGAGCGUAAAACUCUGUUGUUAGAGAAGCGGUAUCUAACCAGAAAACCACGGCUAACUACGGGCCAGCAGCCGCGGUAAUUC